AACGAACGCUGGCGGCAUGCCUAACACAUGCAAGUCGAACGAGACCUCCGGGGCUAGUGGCGCAUGGGUGUGUAACGCGUGGGAACCUGCCCUUAGGUACGGAAUAACUCCCUGACAGGGGUGCUAAUACCGGAUAAUUUCUUCGAACCCAAGAUUUAUCGCCUUUGGAUGGGCCCGCGUUGGAUUAGCUGGUUGGUAGGGUAAAAGCCUACCAAGGCGUCGAUCCAUAGCUGGGUUGAGAGAAUGAGCAGCCACACUGGGACGGGGAAGCGGCCCAGACUCCUACGGGAGGCGGCAAUGGGGAAUAUUGGAAAAUGGGCGGAGGGAUGAACGAGUAAUGCCGGGUAAGUGAUGAAGGCCUUAAAGAAGAAAAGCUCUUUUAACCGGGAUGGUAAUGACGGUACCGGAAGAAUAAGCACCGGCUAACUCCGUG
rnacentral:rRNA from 1 species